UGUGGUUUGGCUCAGAGUAAGAGCACUCGCCUAAUAUGUGUGAGUCACUGGGUUCGAUCCUCAGCACCACAU
rnacentral:tRNA from 1 species